UGAGAUGCACAGAGAGAUGAGAGAACACACAGUUCCACAAGAGUGGAAUGCAGCUUGCUUAAUGAGAAACGUCUAUCCUAUGACGUAAGUACCUGACAGCUAGGUACCCAUGGCUGCCACUGGAGACCUGGUCAACACAGCUCAUGUAGUCUGGGCAACAUUUCAUCUUAACAAGGGUGACUGUAUUAUGAAAGACUGGUAAUACUGACAUCAGAGGAAAGCCAGUAACAAGAGAUGAAUCAAAUGGUAUGAGUAUAUUCCCCAUUGAUACCACAGAACUCACAACCUCUAUUCUACACAAAAAUAAGGAAAUAUUGAAAGGCAAAGAAAUGGAGAAAUCCUAAAGUAGAAAUGCCACGAGAUGAAUAGAAAGUGAGGCACACAAAUAAAAUAAUGUUUUCAAGAACAGAUUUUCCCCCAUAGGACUUCUUGAAGCUUUUCAUCUACUCCAGUACAAGACAAUAACAUCAUGUACAAUAUGCAGUAGUAGCUGGCAUGCUGUUCACAGGGACAUUGAGGGAGCCACUAACUUUGAAGAUCUACAGAAGCCUAACACAUAGAUCUACAUAACAUCUACAUGAGGUAACAUAAGUAACAAGUGAACCAAUCUGUUGUUGGAAGUCAUAAAUUGGCAAAUGUGAUUCCCAUGAGUGCCCCGCAUCUAGUGCUGGAUUUCAGCCAGGAACAGCAGGAGCAGAGCCACCUUUGCAAGAGUGACAGCAAGAUGGACAUCUCAGAGAACAAGGCUGGAGACAAGGCAGGACUGAGGUGCAGUGUGAAGCAGAGACAAGUUUGGGCAUCCCCUCCACACAGCCCAGACACUGCUGCUGCUGUGAUGAGCCUUAGCAGGCCAAGCCAGAUAACCUGAGGAAUUGUGAGGACUCUGACCAUUCUCCAAGUUUUUUCUCUUUCCUUUAUACCCUUUUUAAAAGCACAGAAGUCUUUCUCACUGGUAUUCUACAAGAAAAACUACAGAUAAAAUCAGACAGUGAUAUGACAUGGGCAUGUUCUUGGCUCUUCAAGAUGAAAGCACAGCAAUGCUGGGUACCAUGGAUUCUACUACACCUGUGCUUUUUAACAUAUGGGAGUUGAAUGGAGCUCAGCACCCAGUGAUGCAGGACUGCUUCACAGAACCACAGAAUGGCUGGUGUUGAAAGAGACCACUGGAGGUCAUCUGGUCCAACCUUCCUUCUCACACAGAGUUCCCUACAGCACAUUACUCAGGAUUGAGUACAGACAGCUUUUGAGUAUCUCCAAAAGUGAGACAGACUCUGCAACCUCUGAGGGCAACUGUUCCAGUGGGCACUCAUUGGCACAGUAAAGAAGUUCUUCCUCAUGUUCAGGUGGAGCAACCAAUGCAUCAGUUUCUGCCCAUUGCCUCUUGUCCUAUUGCUUUGGCACCCUAGAGAAGAGCCUGGCUCCACCUUCUUGGUACCCUCCCUUCAGAUACUUAAAUACAUUGACGAGGUCCUCUCUCACUUGUCUCUUCUUGAGGCUGAACAGGCCCAGCUCUCUCAGCCUUUCCUAACAAAAGAGAUGCUCAGUCCCUUCCAUCUUUGUAGCCCUUUGCUGGACUUGCUCCAGGAGCUCCAUGUCUCUCUCAUACUGAGGAGUCCAUAACUGGACACAGCAGUCCAGAUCUGGCCUCACCAGGGCUGAGCAGAGAGACAGAAUCACCUUCCUGGACCUUCUGGCAGUGCUCUUCUUAAUGCAGCUCAGGAUGCCAUUGUCCUUCUUGGUCACAAGGGCACUGCUGGACACCUUGUCCACCAGCAUCUCCAUAUCCUUCUCCAGAGAGCUGCCUGCUGCAAACAGAAAUGAGACUCCCCACAGUCAAAGUACAGCUUUUUUACCCUACUACAAUGUUAACAUGCUGCAUUUGCAACCCUUUAAUGAGUGUAAUUGUAUGUAAAAGUCCACAUCUGAUUUGCACAGUCCUCUCUUAAGAAACAAACCAAAAAAACCUACACAAUUUUUUCCUCACUGUCAGCCCAGCCUACUCCAGAUGCAAG